UACGUAGGGGGCAAGCGUUAUCCGGAUUUACUGGGUGUAAAGGGAGCGUAGACGGCGCGGCAAGUCUGAAGUGAAAGGCAGGGGCUUAACCCCUGAACUGCUUUGGAAACUGCCAUGCUAGAGUGCUGGAGAGGUAAGUGGAAUUCCUAGUGUAGCGGUGAAAUGCGUAGAUAUCACGAAGAACUCCGAUUGCGAAGGCAGCCUGCUGGACUGUAACUGACGCUGAUGCUCGAAAGUGUGGGUAUCAAACAGG
rnacentral:rRNA from 1 species